rnacentral:misc_RNA from 1 species
AACAAGGCGUACCUGCGGACCUGCGGAGGGAUCAUUACCGAGUUUACAACUCCCAAACCCCUGUGAACAUACCUAUACGUUGCCUCGGCGGAUCAGCCCGCGCCCCGUAAAACGGGACGGCCCGCCCGAGGACCCCUAAACUCUGUUUUUAGUGGAACUUCUGAGUAAAACAAACAAAUAAAUCAAAACUUUUAACAACGGAUCU